rnacentral:rRNA from 1 species
GACGAACGCUGGCGGCGUGCUUAACACAUGCAAGUCGAACGGAAAGGCCCUUUCGGGGGUACUCGAGUGGCGAACGGGUGAGUAACACGUGGGUGAUCUACCCUGCACUUCGGGAUAAGCUUGGGAAACUGGGUCUAAUACCGGAUAGGACUACGGACUGCAUGGUCUGUGGUGGAAAGCUUUUGCGGUGUGGGAUGGGCCCGCGGCCUAUCAGCUUGUUGGUGGGGUGAUGGCCUACCAAGGCGACGACGGGUAGCCGGCCUGAGAGGGUGUCCGGCCACACUGGGACUGAGAUACGGCCCAGACUCCUACGGGAGGCAGCAGUGGGGAAUAUUGCACAAUGGGCGCAAGCCUGAUGCAGCGACGCCGCGUGGGGAUGACGGCCUCGGUUGUAAC